AUUGAACGCUGGCGGCAUGCCUUACACAUGCAAGUCGAACGGCAGCACGGGAGCAAUCCUGGUGGCGAGUGGCGAACGGGUGAGUAAAGUAUCGGAACGUGCCCAGUCGUGGGGGAUAACGUAGCGAAAGUUACGCUAAUACCGCAUACGAUCUAUGGAUGAAAGCGGGGGAUCGCAAGACCUCGCGCGAUUGGAGCGGCCGAUAUCAGAUUAGGUAGGUGGUGGGGUAAAGGCUCACCAAGCCGACGAUCUGUAGCUGGUCUGAGAGGACGACCAGCACCACUGGGACUGAAACACGGCCCAGACUCCUACGGGAGGCAGCAGUGGGGAAUUUUGGACAAUGGGCGAGAGCCUGAUCCAGCCAUGCCGCGUGCAGGAUGAAGGCCUUCGGGUUGUAAACUGCUUUUGUACGGAACGAAAAGGUUUGGCCUAAUAAGCUGAGCUCAUGACGGUACCGUAAGAAUAAGCACCGGCUAACUACGUGCCAGCAGCCGCGGUAA
rnacentral:rRNA from 1 species